rnacentral:rRNA from 1 species
GACGAACGCUGGCGGCGUGCCUAACACAUGCAAGUCGAGCGAACAGACGCGGCGUUUGUUGCUUUCUCGAUUGCCGAGGACGGGAGUGACACAUGAGGAAACUGCCCUUAUCAGACUGGGAACAUCACGGGACAGGGGCGCUUACCGCGGAUAAUAUCCUGCUGCGUAUGGUUCGUUAGUGAGUUUCGGCGGUGGGGUAUGGACUAGCGGCAUAUCAGCUUGUUGGGGGGGUAGUGGAUGACCAAGGCUGUGACGGGUAGGCGGCCUGAGAGGGUGACCGGACACAUUGGGACUGAGAGACGGCACAGACUCCUAAGGGAGGCAGCAGUGGGGAAUAUUGCACAAUGGGAGGAAGCCUGAUGCAGCAACGCCGCGUGCGGGAUGACGGACUUCGGGUUGUAAACCGAUUUCGCCUGUGACGAAGCGUGAGUGACGGUAAUGGGUAAAGAAGCAACGGCUAACUACGUG